rnacentral:rRNA from 1 species
GAUGAACGCUGGCGGCGUGCCUAAUACAUGCAAGUCGAGCGAACAGACGAGGAGCUUGCUCCUCUGACGUUAGCGGCGGACGGGUGAGUAACACGUGGAUAACCUACCUAUAAGACUGGGAUAACUUCGGGAAACCGGCGCUAAUACCGGAUAAUAUAUUGAACCGCAUGGUUCAAUAGUGAAAGACGGUUUUGCUGUCAAUUAUAGAUGGAUCCGCGCCGCAUUAGCUAGUUGGUAAGGUAACGGCUUACCAAGGCAACGAUGCGUAGCCGACCUGAGAGGGUGAUCGGCCACACUGGAACUGAGACACGGUCCAGACUCCUACGGGAGGCAGCAGUAGGGAAUCUUCCGCAAUGGGCGAAAGCCUGACGGAGCAACGCCGCGUGAGUGAUGAAGGUCUUCGGAUCGUAAAACUCUGUUAUUAGGGAAGAACAAAUGUGUAAGUAACUAUGCACGUCUUGACGGUACCUAAUCAGAAAGCCACGGCUAACUACGUG